CAGCCGCCGCGGUAAUACAGAGGGUGCGAGCGUUAAUCGGAUUUACUGGGCGUAAAGCGUGCGUAGGCGGCUUCUUAAGUCGGAUGUGAAAUCCCUGAGCUUAACUUAGGAAUUGCAUUCGAUACUGGGAAGCUAGAGUAUGGGAGAGGAUGGUAGAAUUCCAGGUGUAGCGGUGAAAUGCGUAGAGAUCUGGAGGAAUACCGAUGGCGAAGGCAGCCAUCUGGCCUAAUACUGACGCUGAGGUACGAAAGCAUGGGGAGCAAACAGGAUUAGAUACCCGCGUAGUCCCUGUCUCUUAUCA
rnacentral:rRNA from 1 species